rnacentral:tRNA from 4 species
CUUCCAAAUUCAGAGAAACCCCGGAAUUAAAGGUUCAAGUCCCUCUAUCCCCAACCCAAUAAAAGCCUAUUUUUCUUACUAACUUUACUUCCUAACUACUUUUUAUCUUUUCCUUUUUUGAAUCUAAAAAUUCAGGGGCUGGGUAAGAUUUUUUA